rnacentral:rRNA from 1 species
UACGUAGGGGGCAAGCGUUAUCCGGAUUUACUGGGCGUAAAGCGCGUGUAGGCGGUUGCGCAAGUUAGUUGUGAAAUCUUCCGGCUCAACCGGGAAACUGCAGCUAAUACUGCGUGGCUAGAGUGGCAGAGAGGAAAGUGGAAUUCCCGGUGUAGUAGUGAAAUGCGUAGAUAUCGGGAGGAACACCAGCGGCGAAGGCGACUUUCUGGCUGCUAACUGACGCUGAGACGCGAAAGCUAGGGGAGCGAACGG